CAGCCUGCUGCAUUGUUUGAAUUACCGCGCCAAGAUGGCGGGCCUGAUGACGUGCGCCAGCCUGUUCAGCUAGCAGCCGAUGCGGCAUCUAGGCUUUUAUAUCUGUGGUGCUAACCAAACGUGCCACCGAACUUUUCUUGGAUUUUGAACCUCCUACGUAAAUAUUCAUAGAUGGUGCGAAACUACAAACCCAAAACUGAUAGAAGCAAAACAAAUGGUAGCUUAAUAAAAAGGUCUGUUCAAGAAGUUACCGGUGGAAAGUCUAUCAGGGAAGUGAGUUACGCUCUCAAAAUAAGUAGAACUACAUUAACAAGAUAUUACAAGUUCACUGAAGGUCAAGCAGAAGCUAAAGACUAUAUUCCAAAGUACAAUACAAGGCAGGUAUUUACUGAUGAAGAGGAAGAUGGCUGACAAAAAUAUGUACAAAUAUGCUCCUAAAUGUUUCAUGGACGCUGUUAAAGUGUUUAACAGCAGCAAGGCAGCUUGCUUACGAGUAUGCAGUAAAGAAAAAAAAUCCCUGAUGCCUGGCAGCACAAUAUGUGGCAGGAAAGGACUGGAUGCCGGAUGGCUGGAUUUUUGCAGCGUCAGACUCAUCCCACGAUUUCCCUUCGUUCACGUGAAGCAACCAGUAUGGCAAAGGCACAAGGCUUUAAUAAAAAAAUCUGUGAGUAACUUCUUUGACCAAUGGACCAAAGUUCAGGCUGAGAAGUUUGGGCCAGAGUCCAUUUUCAAUCUCGAUGAAACAGGGAUUUCUACCGUACAAAAUCUCCCAAAAGUCCUAGCUACCAGAGGACUCAAGCAAGUUGGACAAAUCACAGCAGCUGAAAGGGGUAAGCUAGGUAGAUGUUUUGCGACAGUUCUAACUCCAUUUUUCUUAAUUAUGUAUUAUCCAAUGUGUUUUUCUUAAUUUUCUUAUGGUUUUUAAUGUGUUUUUAUUAAUUUUCUUGUUUUAAUGUUUUUCUUAAUUUUCCUAUGUGUUUUAAUGUGUU